rnacentral:tRNA from 1 species
UGCAUUGGCCGGGAAUCGAACCGGGGCCGCCCGCGUGGCAGGCGAGCAUUCUACCACUGAACCAGC